ensembl:lncRNA
ACCUCCUGCCCCCUGCCAAGGCAGCAGCCAGAGCACUUCUGUCCUUUUGGGGUGGAUUGGUGCCCGUGAUCCCAGCGUGGGAAUCACUCGUGGUGUGAUCAGCAGCACCCAUUUGUGUGGUGUCAGAUGGGAGCCAGGGAGGUUCUUGUUCUCUAAAAUCAAACUGAAGGUGAAAGGGAGCAGAUGGGAAGGUGUAGAAAGCUUGGCAGUGCUGUGGUUUUAAAUCUGAACUCAGCUCAGGGUUUUGAACUGGCAACUCUUCCUUGGGGCUUUCUCUUGUCCUGUUUAAUGCAAGUUGAGUUUCUGUUCUUUGCUCAGUGUUUUGCUGUGGCAACCCUGCCUGUCUCUGUCCACUGUGCUUCAGUUCCAGACCUUUUCUGGUUUUAUUAGGUUUUUCUGCUGUCUGUUAUUAUUGCACCCUUAUUUUUCUCUCCAGAAAUAACACAAUAGAAAUCCAUUUGUGCUUCCAACAACUCCCAGGAGGGAGAGGUUUUCCAGGGUUUCUUAGACACACACCACCUUUGUUUGGAGCACUGUUUAUAUCAGCUGGAUACAGCUGCAGAUGGACUGGCUGGCACCGAGCUCCUGGAAUAUGGAAAAAGAUGGACUGGAGCACCUUGACCCCUCUCUCUGAGAAAGGAAAUGAUUUACUCCUGCUACUGCUGCUGAGGAGCAGCUGGAAGUGCAAGGAAGAGCCUGGAGCAUCCAGGAAAGCCUAACCUGGGUGUAGCUGUGGGCACACAGGAGGCUGAAGAGGUUUGGAAAAGAGCGAGGAGAGCUCAUGGAGAGGAGAGCAGGAGGAGUUUUCCCUUGAGGUGACCUUUCCUGGAGUGCUUCUGCUUUCCUUCCAUCCUGCCUGGACAACGUCUGCUGGAUUUUCCAUUCUCUCACAGCAGUGCCUGAAGCUGCUCCUGGAGGAGUCCUGCACUCUUGUGAUGCUGAUUGAAGGCAGCUGUAAUAUUUGAGUGUGGGGUGAGCUGGGUGCUGUCCUCAGCUGUGUCCCCUCCCCAGAGGACAGCCCUGUUCUUCAGCACAUUCCCUUAUUUCCCUGUCCCUGAGCCCCAGUGCCAGGGCAGGAGCUGGUGCUGGCUGGGACAGGGCUCCUGCAGGGGUCCCCUGGGGACCAUCACAGCCCCAGGGCUCUGUUCAGAGCAGGGACUUUGCAGCUGUCCCUGGGAAGUGUCCCCAGCACUAAAAGCUCUGUUUGUCUGCAGCUGGCACUGAGUUACACCUGCAUUUCACUGGGGACAUAGGGAGACACCCCCUCAGCUUGCACAGAGUGCCACAGGGCCAGGAGGAGCCCUGAGGCUUCUUCAGCAUCUUCUCAGCUUCUCCUGCCUCUGUCCCACCGAGGCCCCAGCCAGGCUGUGUGUGACUGCUGGAACCUCUGGGGCCUGUGGCUGCCACGCUCCGGGUGUCACUCAGCACUGGGGUGCCAGUGGGGCCACAGGGGUUCUGUGGCCCAGGGGUGAAGCUGGUGGUCACUUCCUGACUCCUCAGUGUCACAUCAGCCCCAGGAGCAUCUUCUCCCCGGCUGAGUGCUGUGCUGCCAGGCUGGCACACUGCAGGGUGUGAGUGUCCCCUGCCCACGGGUGGCAGCCCCGGGUGCGGGGGAGUGGGGAGAGAGUGAUUGCUGUGUUCCAUAAGGAGAAAUAAAUAAAGAGAG